rnacentral:rRNA from 1 species
AGAGUUUGAUCCUGGCUCAGGAUGAACGCUGGCGGCGUGCCUAACACAUGCAAGUCGAACGGACUUAUUAUUGAUGAUAGCUUCGGCAGGAUUUAGUUUUAAGUUAGUGGCGGACGGGUGAGUAACGCGUGGGUAACCUGCCUUAUACAGGGGGAUAACAGUUAGAAAUGACUGCUAAUACCGCAUAAGCGCACAGUAUCGCAUGAUACAGUGUGAAAAGCUCCGACGGUAUAAGAUGGACCCGCGUCUGAUUAGAUAGUUGGUGAGGUAACGGCCCACCAAGUCAACGAUCAGUAGCCGGCCUGAGAGGGUGAACGGCCACAUUGGGACUGAGACACGGCCCAAACUCCUACGGGAGGCAGCAGUGGGGGAUAUUGCACAAUGGGGGAAACCCUGAUGCAGCGACGCCGCGUGAGUGAUGAAGUAUUUCGGUAUGUAAAGCUCUAUCAGCAGGGAAGAUAAUGACGGUACCUGACUGAGAAGCACCGGCUAAAUACGUGCCAGCAGCCGCGGUAAUACGUAUGGUGCAAGCGUUAUCCGGAUUUACUGGGUGUAAAGGGAGCGUAGACGGCAAGGCAAGCCAGAUGUGAAAGGCUGGGGCUCAACCCCGGGACUGCAUUUGGAACUGUCUAGCUAGAGUAUCGGAGAGGUAAGUGGAAUUCCUAGUGUAGCGGUGAAAUGCGUAGAUAUUAGGAGGAACACCAGUGGCGAAGGCGGCUUACUGGACGAUAACUGACGUUGAGGCUCGAAAGCGUGGGGAGCAAACAGGAUUAGAUACCCUGGUAGUCCACGCUGUAAACGAUGAUUACAUAGGUGUGGGGGGACUGACCCCUUCCGUGCCGCAGUUAACACAAUAAGUAAUCCACCUGGGGAGUACGGCCGCAAGGUUGAAACUCAAAGGAAUUGACGGGGGCCCGCACAAGCAGUGGAGUAUGUGGUUUAAUUCGAUGAUACGCGAGGAACCUUACCCGGGCUCGAACGGCUGGUGAAGAGAUACAGAGAUGUUGACGUCCUUCGGGACACCAGUCGAGGUGCUGCAUGGUUGUCGUCAGCUCGUGUCGUGAGAUGUUGGCUCAAGUGCCAUAACGAGCGCAACCCUUGUCACUAGUUACCAGCAUGUCAAGAUGGGGACUUUAGUGAGACUGCCACCGUAAGGUGUGAGGAAGGCGGGGAUGACGUCAAAUCAGCACGGCCCUUACGUCCGGGGCGACACACGCGUUACAAUGGCGGUUACAGAGGGAAGCCACCCCGCGAGGGGGAGCAAAUCUUAAAAAGCCGCCUCAGUUCGGACUGGAGUCUGCAACCCGACUCCACGAAGCUGGAUUCGCUAGUAAUCGCGCAUCAGCCAUGGCGCGGUGAAUACGUUCCCGGGCCUUGCACUCACCGCCCGUCA